rnacentral:rRNA from 1 species
GAUGAACGCUGGCGGCGUGCCUAAUACAUGCAAGUCGAGCGAACAGACGAUGAUCUUGCUGCUCUGACGUUAGCGGCGGACGGGUAAGUAACAGGUGGAUAACCUACCUAUAAGACUGGGAUAACGUCGGGAAACCGGAGCUAAGACCGGAUAAUAUAUUUAACGGCAUGGUUGAAAAGUGAAAGACGGGUUUGCUGUCACUGAGAGAUGUAUCCGCGCCGCAGUAGCUAGUUGGUAAGGUAACGGCUUACCAAGGCAACGAUGCGUAGCCGACCUGAGAGGGUGAACGGCCCCAGUGGAACUGAGACACGGUCCAGACUCCUAGGGGAGGCAGCAGUAGGGAAUCUUGCCCGAAGGGCGGAAUCCUGACGGAGCAACGCAGCGUGAGUGAUGAAGGUCUUCGGAUCGUAAGACUCUGUUAUUAGGGAAGAACAAAUGUGUAAGUAACUAUGCACGUCUUGACGGUACCUAAUCAGAAAGCCACGGCUAACUACGUG